AACCAGAGCGCACAAACCCAAUGCGGCGCCGGCCCCUCCUCCCUCUUGCGCAAUUUGGCUGUGUGGCCACGGACUAUCAAGAACAGGCAGUGGAUCCUGACCCCUUUUUCUCUCAUUCCAGCAGCAGCGGUGGAGAAGAUCCUGCAGGUAGUGCAGCAGUGAGGCGGUGGAUCUCCAGACAGUGCAGCAGUUGGGUGGCAGGUGGAGCAGCCCCAGCCAGUUUCGUUUCUAGUGGGGAGCGUGUUGUGCUGGCGAGGUCGAGCAGCAGAGGACGCCGGCGACAACUAACUUGCUCUCCGGAGCGGAGGGCGAGGAGGUCGAAAGGAGGAAGGAGACCAUGGAGCUGUUCCCGCAGAGCGUCGGGUUCAGCAUCAAGGAUGCUGCUGCCCCUAGGGAGGAGCAAGGAGAUAAAGAGAAGCCUAAGCAGCUCACAAUCUUCUAUGGCGGGAAGGUGCUGGUAUUUGACGAUUUCCCCGCCGACAAGGCAAAGGAUCUGAUGCAGCUGGCCAGCAAGGGCAGCCCAGUGGUACAGAACGUUGUUUUGCCUCAACCCUCUGCAGCUGCUGCUGUCAGUACUGACAAGGCCGUGCUGGACCCGGUCAUCAGCUUGGCCGCUGCUAAGAAGCCUGCUCGCACAAAUGCUUCUGAUGCAUUACAUCAAGAAAAAGAUUUAGUGAAACUGUUUAGAAAGCUAUUGAUGAUAUUGAUGCUCGGAUGAUAUGGAAGCAACGAUAGCAGUACCAGUUGAAGAUGGACAGUUUGCGAAGUCUUCUACAUAAAUUUCACAUGUCUUGCUUUUGUGACUGAUCAGCUCUGGAGUAGCUAGAGUGAUGUAGUUGUGGGCUUUUGAACAAUAGCUGGAGUGAUAUGAAACAUUAGUGAUGUAGUUGUGGGCUUUAUAAUUGUGAAUGAUAUUAGUAAAUGAUCUAGUUGUGAAUGAUAUUAUAAUUGUGAUGCUUUUGUGAAUA